UAUCCUCGCAUCGCAUCGCUCUCGCAGCCCUCGCAUCUCAUCGCUCCAUCGCCGCCACCUCCGUCCCCCACACCGCGGGCCGCGGCCUCUGCCCCCGAUGCCGCUCGCCGCGACCUCCGCCCCCGAUGCCGCUCGCCGCGACCUCCGCCCCCUAUGCCGUCGGUCGCUGCCUCCACCCCCACGCCGCCGGCCGCCGCCUCCAGCCACAUGUCGCGGGCCACCGCCUCCCUCUCCCAUGCUGGCGAUCGCCGGCUCCCUCCCCCACGCCGGCGCUCGCCGCCUCCCUCCCCAAUAACGCCGGCGGCUACACCAUGCUUCCAACCCCACCCGCCGCUCUUGGUGUCGGGGGUGGUCGCCCGCACUGUCGAUGUGCCGCUGCCGCGUGCAGGAAGUUCAACGGCACAAUCCCCGGCCGUUCAAUCUCGCUGCUGUGGGCGUGCCCCGCUCCAACUCCAUCGCCUCUGCUUCACUGGUAAAACAAUGCGACCUGAGGAACCACGGGGGUCGAGGACGUCCAGCUCCGCAGUCCAACUCGGCGUGAUUCAUGUCAUCGAUAGCCUUCAUGUAGCAGCCCAGUAUGUAUUUUAUCAUCAGUUCGUAAAGGAAAGCUGAAUCAGUGCAGUGUGCGUGUUAAAAAAUUAAUUCAGUUUUAUAUUGUAUGGUAGUUCAUUGUAUAGAAAAUUUGUAAUACUUCCUGCUUUUCAGUCCAUCUACUUCCUGGUCACAAGUCUAAUUAGUAGAAAUUCAAAUAUGAAAAUAACAUCCAUCUUGUUCUGGUAAUCAUCUUCAACCAAUUUCGUAUGUAUCAGACUUGCAUAUGUUGAUUAGUAGGGUAGAUCUCUGUUGUAUAAGAAGCUAGAUGUUGAUUCUCAGUCAUCUUGAGUCGGUUGCCUAUAUCACUUCAGAUCCUUUUUCUUGUUGGUCCAGUGCAUGUCCCGCAAUGAGCCAGGACAGGGAAGUUGUUGGACACUAUCGUCUUCGUCGGCCGUCACGCUAUGAGUGGCUAUGGCCAUUGGUCACUGUUGGUCGUCGGUCGUUCUUCUUCGCCACCUCCUGAAGGUCAGCUUCUGGUACACGGGAAUGAAACACCAGACAAAGCAAAAUUGAGUGAUCACCGGAAUGGAACAGCCACAAUCUUUGACAUAUGGUGGUUCUUCAGUGCGCGUAUGGAAGGCCGAGAAGUUCUAUUGCUCGUAUACGCCAAGUUCAGAGAAGUUGCCGCCAACGGCGCCGGAGCAGCGGUCAAAAUUAAACUUGGUUUCAGUUUGUGCAUGAGUUUUUUACAUCAAUUUGUGCAUAUGUGUUAAUUGGUGGCUGGUGUGUGUGUGCAGGCAGGGGCGGAGCUUUGUACGGGCAGACCUGGGCCAUGGCCCGCCCAGGAUUUUUUUUUUUUUGCAUCAGUUCGACAAAAAAAGUGUACAAUAGUUCAAACUCUGAGAGCUAUUAAGUUUUAUUUUUUUAGAAUGGGAGUUGUAUGUUUACUCUCUGCCUGUACAGUGCAUUUUGUAUUCCUGGUCGUUGUAGUUUUUUUUUGUGUUAAUAAAAAUGAAUUAUGUAUUUGUUAAUCAUUCCUCCACUUCCACUAGAAGAAAAGUGAUUUAGACUCUUUAUUGCAAUCAGUUAGUUAACUAUCUUAGUUCAACGAGUUAACCGUCUCGAUUCACUUUUCUUGCUUCCAGGGCCAACCACGGUCGCCGCUCCUCGACCCUAUUCCCGUUCGUCUGAUGGUGCUCUUGUUUCAGGGCCGGGGGAGAAGGCAGAACCUCUGGGUGCAUGAUGGAAAAAAAUUGCAAGUUCUUGUUUAGAGGUUCAGGAUACCCUUCUCUCAUUUCAUUUAUGUUCAGGAUAGCAGGUGCAUGAUGGAAAAUUGUGUAUCAUGUAGUUCUUGUUUAGAUGUCGUGCAAAUUAAAAAAUUGUCGAUUUUGCCAUUGGAGAGAACCCGUUGGUUGCAUUGUUUUUGCAGUGUGACGUCCCUUGGUAU